CCUACGGGAGGCAGCAGUAGGGAAUCUUCGGCAAUGGGGGCAACCCUGACCGAGCAACGCCGCGUGAGUGAAGAAGGUUUUCGGAUCGUAAAGCUCUGUUGUAAGUCAAGAACGGGUGUGAGAGUGGAAAGUUCACACUGUGACGGUAGCUUACCAGAAAGGGACGGCUAACUACGUGCCAGCAGCCGCGGUAAUACGUAGGUCCCGAGCGUUGUCCGGAUUUAUUGGGCGUAAAGCGAGCGCAGGCGGUUUGAUAAGUCUGAAGUUAAAGGCUGUGGCUCAACCAUAGUUCGCUUUGGAAACUGUCAAACUUGAGUGCAGAAGGGGAGAGUGGAAUUCCAUGUGUAGCGGUGAAAUGCGUAGAUAUAUGGAGGAACACCGGUGGCGAAAGCGGCUCUCUGGUCUGUAACUGACGCUGAGGCUCGAAAGCGUGGGGAGCGAACAGGAUUAGAUACCCUGGUAGUCCACGCCGUAAACGAUGAGUGCUAGGUGUUGGAUCCUUUCCGGGGAUUCAGUGCCGCNGCACGACGAUAAGACGACNCCGCCGUCGGGAGGGUAACGGUACCGACCGAAGGUUAGUAAACGUUAACGAAAGUAAGAAGUUAGUUACGGCGUUGAGACGUUAGCCGACGGACGACGACGAGGGGAGGAGGAG
rnacentral:rRNA from 1 species